rnacentral:lncRNA from 1 species
CAAAUAGGUCCAAAAAUCUAUCUAUCUAGCUUUGUCAGGGUUUGAAUCUGAUGUGAGAAGCUACAGGAAGCCGGUGUAGAGAACGCAGCAGAGGAGCUACAGGACUAAAAUUAGAAUGAUUUAAGACGAAGUUGAGCUGGGUCCCGAUAGCACACAUAGCAAGACCAGCCAUGAGGGAAGUUGAAGGAGUCAAGACUUGAGCUGACACUUAUGUAUGAGUGUAUCAUUGUUUCAGUUGGUAAGACAUUAAAUCACACAGGGCCGCGUGCACUCUUGUGACUUUUUGUUCCAUUUCAGUGUGGUUAAAAUGUAGAACCUCUGAGCUUUCGGAUGAACAGCUGCAGUUUCUUUAGUGGUUAAACUUUCCGCCAUUCAGGGUCUACUCUGAAAGCAGACCGCAGAGAGAAUCACUCCCUAUUCUGCUCUAGUGUCACGCUUCAGCAGGGGUGGACUCAGACUGUCUGAAAGGCACGAGUGAAAAAAUAACCGGGCUUCUACUUUCUACAGGAGGUGUGGCCAAAACUGAAAACAUAAAUGGAUCAAAAAAUGCAAAAUGAUCAGCAUUUUUCAAAGUCACAGAAGGAAAACUAUUUUCAGUGGAUUAAUGAAACUGCUGAUCAGGGUGAAACUGUUGUUUUACACUGUAAUGGAAGUGAGGAUAGUGAAGGAGAUUUUGUUUGGAAAAAGGAUGGGAAUCUUCUUUUUAACUACAGCCCCUUUCUUAACCAAACUGUAACAAACUACACAUCAAGCAGGAUGAGUGUAGAUUCCAGUGAUCCAUGGAAACUACAGAUAUCUAACGUUCAGCCUUCAGAUUCAGGAACCUAUCUAUGCUUCCCAUCAAAAAUUAUAUGGAUUUUGACUAUAAAAGGUAACAUACAUUGUUCACAGUGUUUUUUAUGCAUAACAUAUUAAGGCAUAACACAUGAAUGUGCAACAUAUAAAUUUGCAACAUGUGAAUGCAAUCUAGUACUAACACAGCCCAGCCAACAUCGUGCUUAAGUAACAUGUUAACAUUAUCUGAGAGUUAUGUGCCUGUAGUUGAUAUUAUUUACAGUAUAAAGGAUUACAUUUAUAUACAUUUAAUAUGUAAAUGUUGAUAAUCUGGUUAUUCAAAUGCCAAGAUAGUUUCAUAUUUAAACAUAUAUUUUAAUGCAUGCAUAUUAAUCAGU